rnacentral:ncRNA from 1 species
GACAAAACAUGGAUAAUAUGAAUUGUGGAAGCCGGUGUUCUGUCGUACGUUUUGAAAAACGAACCAGAGAGUGUGUCUGUUCGACGAGUCUAACCCGAUCAUCGGGGAAGGCGGAGGGAAACCGAUAUGACCGCAGUGCUUUGCACCAGGGUCACCGUGUUCAAGCGCGGGGAGUCGAGCGGACACGACCCGAAACCGGACGAUCUACGCAUGAGCAGGGCGAAGCGUGCCGAAAGGCACGUGGAGGCCCGUUAGAGUUGGUGUCCUACAAUACCCUCUCGUGACUUAUGUGUAGGGGUGAAAGGCCCAUCGAGUCCGGAAACAGCUGGUUCCAACCGAAACAUGUCGAAGCAUGACCUUCACCGAGGUAGUUCGUGGGGUAGAGCGACGGAUUGGGAGACCGGCCUCCGAGAGGAGUUCGCCUCCCUGUCCAACUCCGAACCUACGAACGCUGUUGACGUGAGGAGACCGGUGCGCGGGGUAAGCCUGUGUACCGUAAGGGAGACAACCCAGAGCUGGGUUAAGGUCCCCAAGUGUGGACUAAGUGCGAUCGAAAGUGGUGCCGAGCCCUAGACAGCCGGGAGGUGAGCUUAGAAGCAGCUACCCAAUAUGGGAAAUAUUAUGGAAAAAUAUCCGAGUGCUAUAAUUUCCGUUGUGAGAAAUCCAAGUGGCCAGUAAGUAAAGUGGCUGAGGGUGCGCUUUUCCCAUGUUCUUAUAUCAUCUUUAGAACUCGCUCCGCUCGGAAGUAGAAGUGGUAUAGCGGCAACGGA